AUUGAACGCUGGCGGCAGGCCUAACACAUGCAAGUCGAGCGAGCGGCCGACGGGUGAGUAAUGUCUGGGACACUGCCUGAUGGAGGGGGAUAACUACUGGAAACGGUAGCUAAUCCCGCAUACCAUCAGAUUUGCCCAGAUGGGAUUAGCUCGUAGGUGAGGUAACGGCUCACCUAGGCGACGCUCCCUAGAUGGUCUGAGAGGAUGACCCGCCACACUGGAACUGCGACACGGUCCAGCCUCCUACGGGAGGGAGCAGUGGGGAAUAGUGCACAAUGGGCGAAAGCCUGAUGCAGCCAUGCGGCGGGUGUGAAGAAGGCCUUCGGGUUGUAAAGCCCUUUCAGCGGGGAGGCGUUACCCGCAGAAGAAGCACAGGCUAACUCCGUGCCAGCAGCCGCGGUAAUAC
rnacentral:rRNA from 1 species